UGGGGAAUAUUGGACAAUGGGCGCAAGCCUGAUCCAGCCAUGCCGCGUGUGUGAAGAAGGCCUUCGGGUUGUAAAGCACUUUCAGUAGGGAGGAAGGGUGUUGUGUUAAUAGCACAGCAUCUUGACGUUACCUACAGAAGAAGCACCGGCUAACUCUGUGCCAGCAGCCGCGGUAAUACAGAGGGUGCAAGCGUUAAUCGGAAUUACUGGGCGUAAAGGGCGCGUAGGUGGUUUAUUAAGUUAGAUGUGAAAUACCUGGGCUUAACCUGGGAAUUGCAUUUAAAACGAAUUGGCUAGAGUAUGGUAGAGUGAAGUGAAAUUUCCGGUGUAGCGGUAAAAUGCAUAGAUAUCGGAGGAAACACCAGUGGCGAAGGCGACUUCCUGGACCAUUACUGACACAGGGGCGCGAAGGCGUGGGGAGCAAA
rnacentral:rRNA from 1 species